rnacentral:lncRNA from 1 species
UGGCUUCAUUUUGGGCCAUAUAGAGUAAAAAUUGAACCACAUCUCAUGUGCAUGUCUAUGUAAAAAAACAAAAAAAAAAAAACAAAGGUCGGCACCCAUUGUAAGUGUCAUUUUCCUUUUUAUUUGUUCAUUUUGUAUUGUAUUUUCAUCUUAAAAUUCGCGGAAAUCAAUCGCAUGCCCUCGGUGAUGCAAGCUUAUGAUUGAAAAAUUGGCAAUCACUUUUGACAAGUGAGCAUUUGAAUGCAAGUUCUAAGCAUUUUGAUUUGGCCCUGUUGAACACAUAGUUUUGUUUAAACUUCUAGUUAUGGGCUCGAAAUCAUUUUGAAAAAAAAAAAAAAAAACUUUCAAGUUGUGAUUUUAUAUUUGGGCACAAAAAUUGAAAUUGCAUUUUUUUUAUCAAAUUUUCUCAUUCUCAUAUUUUGGGACUAUAAUGCAAAUCAUUUUGUGUACAAAUUCCUCAAAAUAGAAAUCACUUCAUUUUUCUAGGAGUAAAAUCACAAAUCAAUCUUUCAAAAAUCAAAG